CAGGGUUCACAAAAUUCUCACUUCUAAGGGGGCAGCAAUAACUGCUUUCUGCCAAAACAUAGUUUGAAUCCAACGGGGUAAAAGGGCGAUGUAGAGCAACACCUCCGAAAAGACACCGGUCUUUAUUUUAAAUGAUCCCCGCACUGCCUCUCAAAGAGAACUUCAGUAGCAGCCUUAACCAGACGCAAUCUUUUUUCCAACAGAAAGCACGUGGUGGGGCUGCAGCCAGAGCCGCCGCGCCGAUCACCCCCGGGCCUCCUGCUCUCCCCGCACCUCGCGGUCCGGCGCUGACUCCUCGCCGAGGCUUCUGGGCGGACGCCGCCGGCUACAGGAACGGGCGUUGGGGGAAGGCGCGUCACCCCACCCUGGCCACCUUGAGGUCCGCAGAGGGAGGGUCGGGGCUAGACCCCAGUGUCCUGGUUGCCUCUGUGCACACAGGAGGCAAGGAGGAUCCCCGCCGGGACGGCCAGGAGUCUACGCAGUGGUUUUACCCGGCAGCGGUAAAGAUAGUUACCAGAAACUGUUGCAGGGAAGAAAACCAGAUAUUUUUUGGUUUUGUUUUAUUUUUCAAGACAAGGUCUCGCUAUGUAGCCCCGGCUGGGUUCGAACUCAUGACCUUCCUGCCUUGGCCUCCCAGAGCGCUGGGAUUACAGGAUGCAACAACGUGCCUAUGAAAAGGAGAUUUAAAAAACCACCAGGGCCAGGGAUUUAGCUAAGUGGUACUGCAGCCUGCCUCGCAACUGCAAGGUCCUCAGUUUGAUCCCUGGUACCCAAAACAAAAGCCACCUGAAGUUUUUAUGUGAGUACUUUAU
rnacentral:lncRNA from 1 species